rnacentral:miRNA from 17 species
AGUUAGUGCGCUUUGCGAAUUCACAGGCCCUAUCUUGUGGUAUGAACUGAGUACGCGAUGAUUUAUGGCGCAUAUUGGGGGCUUACCAAAAGAUAAUGCUGUGAAUUUGCAAAGCGCUCAAACC